GUCUAUGAACUACUGACACAUUUUUCCCCCUUCUUUAAUACAGAGAGAAUUCCCUAAAUUUUUUACAUUCCGAGCAAGGGAUAAGUUUGAGGAGGAUCGUAUCUAUCGUCAUCUGGAGCCUGCUCUGGCUUUCCAGUUAGAGCUGAACCGGAUGAGAAAUUUUGACCUCACUGCCAUUCCAUGCGCUAAUCACAAGAUGCACCUGUAUCUCGGGGCAGCCAAGGUGGAAGUGGGCACAGAAGUGACAGACUACAGGUUCUUUGUUCGUGCAAUCAUCAGGCAUUCUGAUCUGGUCACCAAGGAAGCUUCUUUUGAAUAUCUCCAAAAUGAAGGGGAGCGGCUACUCCUGGAAGCCAUGGAUGAGUUGGAAGUUGCUUUUAACAAUACAAAUGUCCGCACUGACUGUAACCACAUCUUCCUCAACUUUGUGCCCACGGUUAUCAUGGACCCAUCAAAGAUUGAGGAAUCCGUGCGGAGCAUGGUAAUGCGGUAUGGAAGUCGCCUGUGGAAAUUGCGCGUCCUCCAGGCAGAACUGAAAAUCAACAUUCGCCUGACGCCAACUGGAAAAGCAAUUCCCAUCCGCCUCUUCCUGACAAACGAGUCUGGCUAUUACUUGGAUAUCAGCCUAUACAAGG
rnacentral:sRNA from 1 species